AGCAGUAUUGAACUGAAGAGUUUGAUCAUGGCUCAGAUUGAACGCUGGCGGCAGGCCUAACACAUGCAAGUCGAGCGGAUGAAGGGAGCUUGCUCCUG
rnacentral:rRNA from 1 species